GAUAAAACAAAAUAGUGGUUAUGAAUCACGAGAAAUGUCGUAAUGUUCGCUCUACUCUUUAUUUCGCGACCAUAAAGCGAAGCGUAUGUAUAUGUACACACGCAUUUCUCGACACUUAACUGAUGUAUAAUCAAGAGGUGCGAGUGAGGUACGGACGGUGGCCUGUCUCUCGAUCGGGCGAGGGAUACUUCGGCGGAGGGGGAGACGCGGACAAACUGUCGGCACAUUGUGCAACGUUACGAACGCCAACCCACGGGGACGCUGGCCGUCGAAGGUAAUCCAGGGGGAUGCGUGCCCGAGAAUUCUGAUCAGCUCUUAUAGAUCCCGCCAAUGUGUUAUUACUGUUAACACCUCUACUUCGUGUAAUGCCGCGUACAUCAUUGCUCGGACGACAACAGCGCCCACGCGAUCGCAGAUGUCAUACACGUGCCAGCGGACUGUCCGCGUUGUGUUUUCAACAAGGAAAUAAUACUUGCAAGAUAUCACGCGAUGAACGACAGGAACUGCAUACUCUCGAGAAUCGCAUUCUUGGCGCGGCGUGCGACAUCAAAAUUUACUCUUCACGGCAAUACAAGAAUGGAAUUGUAAAUAAUCGUGAACCGUCACGUUUCAUGUUCUUUAAUACGCUGUUAUUUCGUUAAAAUUGCGCUUCGACAGUAUCGAGUCCGAUAAAUAAUAAAUCCGCCGUCGUUGCAUCAA